rnacentral:rRNA from 1 species
AAGCGGAGGAGGCAUGUGGUUUAAUUCGUAUGAUACGCGAGGAACCUUACCUGGGCUCGAACGUAAGAUGACUGUAGGUGAAAGCUUACAUCUCUUCGGAGCAUUUUACGAGGUGCUGCAUGGUUGUCGUCAGCUCGUGCCGUGAGGUGUCGGGUUAAGUCCCAUAACGAGCGCAACCCCUACCUUUAGUUGCCAUCAGGUUAAGCUGGGGACUCUAAAGGAACUGCCUACGCAAGUAGUGAGGAAGGCGGGGAUGACGUCAAAUCAGCACGGCCCUUACGUCCAGGGCUACACACGUGCUACAAUGGCCGAUACAGAGGGCAGCUACCUGGUGACAGGAUGCAAAUCUCCAAAGUCGGUCUCAGUUCGGAUCGGAGUCUGCAACCCGACUCCGUGAAGUUGGAUUCGCUAGUAAUCGCGCAUCAGCCAUGGCGCGGUGAAUACGUUCCCGGGCCUU